rnacentral:rRNA from 1 species
UGCUGGAGGUAUCAGAAGUGCGAAUGCUGACAUAAGUAACGAUAAAGCGGGUGAAAAGCCCGCUCGCCGGAAGACCAAGGGUUCCUGUCCAACGUUAAUCGGGGCAGGGUGAGUCGACCCCUAAGGCGAGGCCGAAAGGCGUAGUCGAUGGGAAACGGGUUAAUAUUCCCGUACUUGGUGUUACUGCGAAGGGGGGACGGAGAAGGCUAUGUUGGCCGGGCGACGGUUGUCCCGGUUUAAGGGUGUAGGUGUGUGUUCCAGGUAAAUCCGGUUCACUUUAACACUGAGGCGUGACGACGAGGCACUACGGUGCUGAAGCAACAAAUGCCCUGCUUCCAGGAAAAGCCUCUAAGCAUCAGGUAACAUCAAAUCGUACCCCAAACCGACACAGGUGGUCAGGUAGAGAAUACCAAGGCGCUUGAGAGAACUCGGGUGAAGGAACUAGGCAAAAUGGUGCCGUAACUUCGGGAGAAGGCACGCUGACACGUAGGUGAAGUGAUUUACUCAUGGAGCUGAAGUCAGUCGAAGAUACCAGCUGGCUGCAACUGUUUAUUAAAAACACAGCACUGUGCAAACACGAAAGUGGACGUAUACGGUGUGACGCCUGCCCGGUGCCGGAAGGUUAAUUGAUGGGGUCAGCGUAAGCGAAGCUCCUGAUCGAAGCCCCGGUAAACGGCGGCCGUAACUAUAACGGUCCUAAGGUAGCGAAAUUCCUUGUCGGGUAAGUUCCGACCUGCACGAAUGGCGUAAUGAUGGCCAGGCUGUCUCCACCCGAGACUCAGUGAAAUUGAACUCGCUGUGAAGAUGCAGUGUACCCGCGGCAAGACGGAAAGACCCCGUGAACCUUUACUAUAGCUUGACACUGAACAUUGAGCCUUGAUGUGUAGGAUAGGUGGGAGGCUUUGAAGUGUGGACGCCAGUCUGCAUGGAGCCGACCUUGAAAUACCACCCUUUAAUGUUUGAUGUUCUAACGUGGACCCGUAAUCCGGGUUGCGGACAGUGUCUGGUGGGUAGUUUGACUGGGGCGGUCUCCUCCUAAAGAGUAACGGAGGAGCACGAAGGUUGGCUAAUCCUGGUCGGACAUCAGGAGGUUAGUGCAAUGGCAUAAGCCAGCUUGACUGCGAGCGUGACGGCGCGAGCAGGUGCGAAAGCAGGUCAUAGUGAUCCGGUGGUUCUGAAUGGAAGGGCCAUCGCUCAACGGAUAAAAGGUACUCCGGGGAUAACAGGCUGAUACCGCCCAAGAGUUCAUAUCGACGGCGGUGUUUGGCACCUCGAUGUCGGCUCAUCACAUCCUGGGGCUGAAGUAGGUCCCAAGGGUAUGGCUGUUCGCCAUUUAAAGUGGUACGCGAGCUGGGUUUAGAACGUCGUGAGACAGUUCGGUCCCUAUCUGCCGUGGGCGCUGGAGAACUGAGGGGGGCUGCUCCUAGUACGAGAGGACCGGAGUGGACGCAUCACUGGUGUUCGGGUUGUCAUGCCAAUGGCACUGCCCGGUAGCUAAAUGCGGAAGAGAUAAGUGCUGAAAGCAUCUAAGCACGAAACUUGCCCCGAGAUGAGUUCUCCCUGAGACU